rnacentral:tRNA from 1 species
GCCGAAGUGGCGGAAUUGGUAUACGCGCACGACUCAAAAUCGUGUGGCCUCGUGCCUUGUGGGUUCAAGUCCCACCUUCGGUACCA